rnacentral:misc_RNA from 1 species
GCUCCGUUGGUGAACCAGCGGAGGGAUCAUUACAGAGUUUACAACUCCCAAACCCAAAUGUGAACAUACCUAUCGUUGCUUCGGCGGACUCGCCCCGGCGUCCGGUCGACCUUGCGUCGGCCGCGGCCCGGAACCAGGCGGCCGCCGGAGACCAUCAAACUCUUUGUAUUAUCAGUAUCUUCUGAAUCCGCCGCAAGGCAGAACAAAUGAAUCAAAACUUUCAACAACGGAUCUCUUGGUUCUG